GGGGCGGGGCGGGCGACAUCACCCAGCCGGGGUACCGCGAGCUUCAGCCGGCUGGGCCUAGGACAGGGGCAGAGACAGUGCACCCGAAGCAGCUCCAGAAAAGAUCAGCACUGGUAACGCCCGGUAGUAGGCUAAGGGGGAGCGAUUUUUGCUUCUUACACGGUUGGUUCAGACGUGGUACACAAUGAGCUUAAAACGUCAGAUGUACACACACAAAGAAAUGUACACUAAGAUAUCACACGAGUGGCAGCUUCUCGGGGGACCGACUGGGAAACGGCCUAAGCGUUUAGGGCGACAGAAUGGUGAUCUAGGAAGCUACCCAGAGAAGUACAGCCACAGAGGACUGUGCACAAAGUCCACAGCACACCCACAACGACCAAGCCCUGGGAUGAUCCAGUCCCCGCGGAGCAGAGGCGGACAAACCUGUGUCAUAUAUCUUCAGAAGGCAGAUCUCUGGACAGAAAAUAAAGCAACAUUUGCCUGGAGGUAGGAACGGGGCUGACAGCGAGCUUACACGAACAUGAUUCCAAAACAUGGAGUGACGAAAAUCUUCUAAAACUGGGUGGCAAUGAUUGAAUAUAAAUGUAUUAAGAACUGAAAGUGUACAAUGAGCAGAAUUUUUAUAGUAAUUAUACUCCAAUGGAACCACUUUUAAAAGUAACAGAGUAGGGCUGGGGAUUUGGGUCAGUGGUUCCGCUACCUGCCUCACAAGCACAAGGACCGGAGUUCGAUCCCUGGUACUAAAAAAAAAAAGGAACAAAGUAGCUCGGCGUGGUGGCUCACGCCUGUAAUCCCAGCAAUUGGGAGGCUGAGGCAGGAGGAUUGCUGUGAGUUCAAGACCAGCCUGGGCUACAUAGUGAGUUCUAGGUCAGUCUCAACUACAUAGUGAGACCCUGUCUCAAAAGAAAACAAAAAACAAGUAACAGCAGCGAAAUUUAGCAGCACGCACCUAUAAUGCAAGCUACUCAGGAAGCUGAAACUGAAAGAUCUUGAGCUCAAGGCCAGCCUGGGCAGCAUGGUGAGGGUUUGUCUCAGAAACAGAAAAAACAAUACAACAACACAAAGCAGAAGCUGACCCUGAAGAGAUUAAUGAAGGCCUUGUUGAGAAAAAGUACUGAAAAUUUGAAAAUGAAGCCAGGCGUGGUGGUAUGCACACCUAUAAUCCUAGCACUUGGGAGGUAGAGGCAGAAGGGUGGAGAGUUUUGAGACCAGCGUGGGCUGGUCAGAAAGAGCUCCCCCUGCCAAAAAUAAAGCAAAAGCAGCAGUUAGCGGGUGAGAGGUCAUUCAGUCCAUACCUGGCAUUUAACGUGUACCAGGUUUAACUUCCUAGGGGACUGUCCCCAAAACCUGUCUCAAGAAAACAAAAAACAAGUAACAGCAGCGAAAUUUAGCAGCACGCACCUAUAAUGCAAGCUACUCAGGAAGCUGAAACUGAAAGAUCUUGAGCUCAAGGCCAGCCUGGGCAGCAUGGUGAGGGUUUGUCUCAGAAACAGAAAAAACAAUACAACAACACAAAGCAGAAGCUGACCCUGAAGAGAUUAAUGAAGGCCUUGUUGAGAAAAAGUACUGAAAAUUUGAAAAUGAAGCCAGGCGUGGUGGUAUGCACACCUAUAAUCCUAGCACUUGGGAGGUAGAGGCAG
rnacentral:lncRNA from 1 species